rnacentral:rRNA from 1 species
ACUAAAUAGAUACCCGGGUGGUCCUGGCCGUAAACACUGAGCACUGGAGGAGAGGGGUUUCGGCCUUUCUCCUCGCAGCGAAAAAGCGUUAAAGUGCUCCGCCUGGGGAGCAUGGUCGCAAGGCUGAAACUCAAAGAAAUUGACGGGGGCUCACACAAGCGGUGGAGCAUGUGGCUUAAUUCGAGGCAACGCGAAGAACCUUAUCCUGGAUUUGACAUGCACGGAUUAACUCUCUGAAAGGAGAGCCACGCCUUCGGGUGGAACGUGCACAGGUGCUGCAUGGCUGUCGUCAGCUCGUGUCGUGAGAUGUCGCGUUAAGUCGCUAAACGAGCGAAACCCCUAUCCCUAGUUGCCAGCACGUUAUGGUGGGGACUCUAGGGAGACCACCGGCGUCAAGCCGGAGGAAGGCGGGGAUGACGUCAAGUCCUCAUGGCCUUUAUGUCCAGGGCUGCACACGUGCUACAAUGGUGCGUACAGAGGGACGCCAAGCCGCGAGGCCGAGCAAAUCCCAAAAACGCG